GAUUUGUUUGAUCCUUGGCUCAGAAUGAACGCUGGCGGCAGGCCGUAAAACAUGCAAGUCGAAACGCCCUAGCAAUAGGGAGUGGCGCACGGGGUGAGUAACAUGUGGGAAAUAUGCCUUUUGGUACGGAACAACUUUUGGAAACGAAAGGCAAAUACCGUAUGGUCCCUUCGGGGUAAAGAUUUAUCGCCAAAAGAUUAGCCCGCACUAGAUUAGCUAGUUGGUAAGGUAAAUGGCUUACCAAGGCGACGAUCUAUAGCUGGUCUGAGAGGACGAUCAGCCACACUGGGACUGAGACACGGCCCAGACUCCUACGGGAGGCAGCAGUUAGGAAUAUUGGACAAUGGGCGCAAGCCUGAUCCAGCCAUGCCGCGUGAGUGAUGAAGGCCUUCGGGUUGUAAAACUCUUUAGCCGACGAAUAUAAUGACUGUAGUCGGAGAAUAAGCCCCGGCUAACUUCGUGCCAGCAGCCGCGGUAAUACGAAGGGGGCGAGCGUUAUUCGGAAUCACUGGGCGUAAAGCGUGCGUAGGCUGUUUUGUAAGUCAGAAGUGAAAGCCCAGGGCUUAACCCUGGAAUUGCUUUUGAAACUACAAGACUCGAAUUCGGGAGAGGAUAGCGGAAUUGUCAGUGUAGCAGUGAAAUGCGUAGAUAUUGACAGGAACACCAGUGGCGAAAGCGGCUAUCUGGACCGACAUUGACGCUGAGGCACGAAAGCGUGGGGAGCAAACAGGAUUAGAUACCCUGGUAGUCCACGCCGUAAACGAUGUGAGUUUGUCGCUGGGAAGCUUAGCUUUUCGGUGACGUAGUAACGCGUAAACUCACC
rnacentral:rRNA from 1 species